AAACUAAGCAAGUUGCCUAAUUUUGUCGUUGAACGUCACAUAUACUUUUGUUAUUAAGUACAUAAUGUGCCAUCAACUGUGCAGAAUAAUAUCACAAGAUUUUCAAAAUAUUUCCAGUACAAAAUCAAAAUUUUGUUCUUUCUCAAAUAAUUGACAAAAUGAGGUCAGCGUUUGCUGUUUUGUUUGCGUUAAUGCAUUAAUUGCGUAAACAUACUCCAAAAAUUAUCAAGAUGUUAAAGAAGAAAUAAAAAAUGAAGUUGAAAACGAAAUUUUAAGAUAAAGACAGAUGACGAGUUAGAUGAUAAUGCUUAGGAAGCAGUUAACGAUGCGAGGCCGUUGCGACGAUUUUUUCGCAAGUUUCGCGAUAGGAAGAUUCUUUCGUACAUGCCUUAUUAUAUUUAUACAUGCUCUUAUAAAUAUUUGGAAAGCUGGAAAAAAAUAAUAAAGUUGCUCUAUUUCGAAAACUUUAAAACAAAACAUUAUCUAGAUGAUAUAAUUAAAAUAUUUUAUUUGAAAAUUUUUUUGUGUAAACAAAAGUUGAGAAAUUUUUAAUGUACCAAAAGUUAAAAACCUUACUGACGUUAUUAAAUGUGUAGAGUGUCAGUU